rnacentral:rRNA from 1 species
CGUAUAUUAAAGUUGUUGCAGUUAAAAAGCUCGUAGUUGGAUUUGUGGAUGUGCCGGCCGGUUUGCUCUUUUGAGCGUAACUUGGCCAGCUCGUCCAUCCUUGGGUGGAAUCUGUGUGGCAUUAGGUUGUCGUGCAGGGGAUGCCCAUCUUUUACUGUGAAAAAAUUAGAGUGUUCAAAGCAGGCUUAUGCCGUUGAAUAUAUUAGCAUGGAAUAAUGAGAUAGGACUUGGGUGCUAUUUUGUUGGUUUGCGCACCUUGGUAAUGAUUAAUAGGGACAGUUGGGGG